rnacentral:rRNA from 1 species
UACGGAGGGUGCAAGCGUUAUCCGGAUUCACUGGGCUUAAAGGGUGCGUAGGCGGGCAGGUAAGUCAGUGGUGAAAUCUUUGGGCUUAACCCGAAAACUGCCAUUGAUACUAUUUGUCUUGAAUAUUGUGGAGGUUAGCGGAAUAUGUCAUGUAGCGGUGAAAUGCUUAGAUAUGACAUAGAACACCAAUUGCGAAGGCAGCUAACUACGCACAUAUUGACGCUGAGGCACGAAAGCGUGGAGAUCAAACAGG